GGCAGGCUCGACCAGAUCAGAUCGAUUCGAUCUCCAUCUUUCUGGCGACACUGAGCACAGAAAGCAGAGAGAACGGGAAGAGAGAGGCGAGAGGAGGGGGCAGGAACCCUAGCUGCGGGAGGGCGGCUGGCGCCCCGCAAGCGCCGGAGAGACGCCGCGCCGUGCACUUGCUGGCACGCACGGAAGGAAGCGGGGAGCUGCAGGGGGGCGCGAGCGGUGAUCGGUGGCUUCAAGCAGCGGGCAAGCUGGACCUGGGCCUGUGGGCUGUGGCUGGCGGUGCCGAGGCCGAAUCGAGGUUGGAGGAGACCGCGGCAGCGGGAGCUCACCUUCUCGUGAUGAGAUGCGAGACAACUAGCAGCGACAGGAGGACGAGUGUUCCGGUCGUGUGGAUGGCUUUUUGUUGGUCAAGUAGUGAAAUGGGGAUGCACUAAUCCAUCUAACUAUUUGGCAGACCAUGGUAGCUGAUUAGACUGUAUGACCUCAUCACCUUGCUAUGGAUAUAUAGCUCAGUUAAUUCCUGCACAACCAAUUUCAUAUUCAAUAUGCCACCAUGGGGGGGAAAGUCUUCAUCCAAAGAAGUUAAGAAGACUGCCAGAGAAAAUAUAAUUGACACAUUUCAGCAGUUCAUAAGUCCAAGUGAGCAUAAGGGGAGCACAAAAUCGCGAGGGAAUCGCGGACGCUGUAAAGACUCAACUGCUGAGAAAGGUUGCUGGUCUACUGCCCAAUCACGGUCCACAUCCCCUUCAAAAGAGGUUUCUCGUUGUCAAAGCUUUGCAGCAGAUAGACCAAAUGCACAACCACUUCCUCUUCCUAGAUCACGUGCUGGGGUGACGCGCACUGUUUCUGAUGUUACCGACUCAAAGCCCAUUUUGCAAAGGCAUGACAAAGGACAGCAGCUACCACUGCCUACCCAGAAUCGGCUUCAGAAAAGACCUGAAACUACUGAAUGUGUUGCAGAAUUAGCAACUGCAUCUGUCUCCAGCAAUUGUUCUAUUGAUAGUGAUGAUUGUGGAGAUUCUCAGUUUCACAGUCCUGUGGGAAAUGAUGCUGAAAAUGUGACUAAAGUUACAACAAUGAUUAGUUCAAGCGUUGUGCAUAAAGAAUGUUCAAGUGCUAUCACCACAAAGAGCACUAAGGAAGUGACAAAGUUGGGCAGUGCUUUUCUCAGGAACCAAAUUCUGCCCACAUCUCCAACUGGUACUGUUUCAGACCGUUACCAAACCAAUUUACAAAACACAUGCCAGGUUGCUCUGGAGAGUGCUCCAAACAGUUUGAUGUCAAGCCCUUCUCAAAGCCCAAGAACAAUAUUUCCUGACCAGAUUCCAAGUUCAGCUUUUUGGGCAGUGAAGCCUCAUGCAGAUAUAACAUUCCUUGGGUCUGGUCAGUGCUCCAGUCCAGGUUCAGGGCAAACAUCUGGGCAUAAUUCAGUGGGAGGUGAUAUGCUAGCUCAGCUCUUCUGGCAGCCUAGCCGAGGCAGUCCAGAGUGUUCACCAAUUCCUAGCCCAAGAAUGAUGAGUCCUGGUCCAAGUUCGAGGGUGCAUAGCGGAAGUGUCUCUCCAUUGCAUCCGAGGGCUGGUGGGAUGGCACCUGAAUCUCCAACAAAUCGGCAUGAUGAGGUGAAGAAGAAGCAAACCCACAGAUUGCCGCUUCCACCGUUAAGCAUCUCUAAUAGUUCCACCUUUUUGCCGAACAACUCCGCCCCAACAAGUCCUAUAUCUCGUAGUCCUGGUAGAGCAGAGAAUCCACCCAGUCCUGGAUCACGUUGGAAGAAGGGAAAGCUGAUUGGACAUGGGACAUUCGGCCAUGUAUAUGUUGGCUUUAACAGUGAUAGAGGCGAAAUGUGUGCAAUGAAGGAGGUUACCCUUUUCUCAGAUGAUCCUAAGUCAAAAGAAAGUGCAAGACAGUUGGGUCAGGAAAUAUUAGUUCUGAGCCGGCUGCAACAUCCAAAUAUUGUACGAUACUACGGAUCUGAAACGGUUGACAAUAAACUUUAUAUAUACCUGGAGUAUGUGUCUGGCGGAUCCAUCCAUAAGCUUCUGCAGGAGUAUGGACGGUUUGGUGAACAAGCAAUUCGCAGUUAUACUAAGCAAAUUCGUUUGGGCUUAGCUUAUUUGCAUGCAAAGAAUACAGUUCACAGGGAUAUCAAAGGUGCAAACAUAUUAGUAGACCCUAACGGCCGUGUAAAGCUUGCUGACUUUGGAAUGGCAAAACAUAUCAAUGGGCAGCAGUGUCCUUUCUCAUUCAAGGGUAGCCCGUACUGGAUGGCUCCUGAGGUUAUAAAGAAUUCUACUGGAUGUAACCUAGCUGUGGACGUAUGGAGUUUAGGGUGCACAGUUCUAGAGAUGGCUACCUCAAAACCUCCAUGGAGCCAAUAUGAAGGGAUUGCUGCGAUGUUUAAGAUAGGAAACAGCAAGGAGCUUCCACCAAUACCAGAUCAUCUCUCUGAAGAGGGCAAAGAUUUUAUACGUCAGUGCCUGCAACGUGAUCCAUCUAGCCGUCCAACAGCAGUGGAUCUUUUGCAACAUUCAUUUAUACGAAGCGCAUUACCGCCUGGAAAAUCAGUUGCCUCUACUCCGUUGGAACAGUUGGAUGAUAUAUCUUGCAAACCAAGUUCUAAGGUGGUUGGGCAUGUCAGAAAUAUGUCUUCUUUGGGUUUGGAAGGUCAAUCCAUUUACCAGAGAAGAGCUGCAAAAUUUUCUUUGACACACAGUGAUAUUCAUAUACGGAGCAAUAUUUCUUGCCCAGUUUCUCCAUGUGGAAGCCCUCUUCUGAGGUCAAGAUCCCCGCAACAACAAAAUGGUACAAUGUCACCAUCUCCGAUUUCUAGCCCCAGAACUACUUCGGGUGCUUCCACUCCUCUGACAGGUGGCAAUGGAACCAUACCUCCUAACCAUACUAGACAACUAGCUUACAGCAACAAGGGUGUCACAAUCGCAUCGAGAGUUCUUGAUGAACACUGGGCUAGCCGGCCUCCAGAUCCAGUUCUUGGUCAUUUAGUUAGAGCUCAACAACUCUCGACAAGCAUUCGGGGGAGAGUGGUCUCUGAAGCUGGCAUUCGGGGACCUCAGUUUGGAAAGAGGAGACAACGGAAUUUGCAUGAUAGGCCAUUGGCUUCCGAGCAUGCCUCUCAGCAUGGCUUUGGGGAUAAUUUGAAGCUAAAACCUUCAGUGGACAUGACAUCUGGUAAUCCACACCUCAUACGCAACCAUGGUCAUUGAUUCUCUAGAAAGGUUGUGCAAUAGGCAUUCAGUUGGAGCUUGAUGAGAUAAUGUCUCUUUAGUAAGAUCUGUAUCAUAGCAGAAGAAGACUUUCCACUAAUUAUUUCAGAUGCUGACAGUUGGCAGUUGAUAUGGAUUGUCCAACGCCAUUUCUAUCAUUUCAAGUAAAGAUUACCAUGAGAAUUGCCCUAUCAGGAGGGGCAUAGACUGCCAGACUACCUGGUCUGUAAUUGUAUAUUAGAGCAUCUUUAUACCGAAGGAUCCGCAACAGUAGUUCUGAACCUUUAUGCCCUUCCUCCCGUAUCUGCAUUUUAUUUUCCCCGACUUACAUGGUAAUAUUCCCUUGUGCAAGAGCUCAACUAGCAGCUCACGUUCUGCACAUGAUUAACAAUUGAGCCAUUCGGUUAUUACCCAGAUAUUAACAAUUCUGUAUCUCAUUCCAUGUUGCAAGCUUCUGCCCACACUGAAGUGUUGUAAUACUCCAGUAAUUAGUACUAGGCCGAUCCAUAACUGUGUACAUUACUCCGGGAAUAGUGCAAAGAUUCUAGUCAUUGAUUAAAUUAGUA